GGAGAACACAAAAUCCUUUUCAUUGAAUGGGAAAAGAAAUGUAAAAGCACACACCAAAGAGAAUAUUUCCACAAGAAGUGCCAUCUACAAAGAAUUGGAUGGUAAAAUUACACCUCAGGGCGUAUAAACCGAAAAAGAAAAGAUAAAUAUACAAAACUAGGAAUUCCAGAUUUCAUCCACUCACUCUAUUCCCAUUUCAAUUUCCUUACUACAAAGCUUUUAUUUCUUUGCUUUUUUUCUUAUUUUUUUGUUCCUAUUCCACAGUUAUUUCUAAUAUCGUUGUAAGUCUGGGUGUUUUGUAUCUUCUGAGAAGUAAAGAUGAACAUACAACACUUACAGAUGAGAGAGCCAUGCAAGCACCAGCUGCCCAUGGCGGCAACUGGAUCCCUAGUAUUGGAAAGAAAACUCCAGCAGCAACAGGUAUUGCUAUCACGUUAUAUGCCAUUGCAAAAAUAUAAUUCCAUCGAAUGCGAGAGAGAGUUUUCCUUGAAAGAUCAAUGGCUGUGAUUACGUCUUCUAAGUUAUUCCUCAUCAAGACAUAGUCUGCAGCUUCUAUAGCGAUGUCCGUUCCUGCCCCAAUUGCCAUCCCAACAUCAGCGGCAGCUAAGGCAGGAGAGUCAUUGAUACCAUCACCCACCAUUGCAACUACACUUCCAUCCUUCUGAAACAAAUCAAUGACUUCAGCUUUUCCCGCAGGCAAUACUUCAGCCCUCACAUCUUGAAUGCCUACCUGCUCAGCAACAAGUAUGUUAAGUCUCCCACACUAAACCGUUCAAACAAUAGCACAAGGACUAGGAGUUAUUAGCACUAAAUCAAAAGCUAUAAAAAGCGCAGUGAAAAGUAAUUCCGAACUGUUUGAUAAAACAUAAAUCAGGUGAGUAUGCUUUCAGACUGCAUACCCAAGUCAAACAAAAAAUUCUCAGUAGAAACUCAGAGCCAUAUGGUAUAACAAUAGCAGAAGGCAAAACUAGAAACAGGCAACUCUAGCUCAACAAGAGGCCAAUUGAUAAGGCACAAGAAAGAACAUCAAUAGGAGCUAAGAGGAUUUCCUUCUAUUUGCGUGUGCAUUUAUCAAUAGUGGUCAAAGUACCAAUGUAUUAUAGAAAUAUACACAAACCUCUUGGGCAACAGCACGAGCUGUUCUCCAAUUAUCUCCCGUCACCAUGACUGGUUUGACACCCAUUUUUUGAAGACCUUCUAUGACUAUAGCAGCUUCUCUCUUUAGUGGGUCUGCAACCCCCAAGACACCUAUCAAGUUGUCAUCAAAUGCAACAAGUAUGCCUGUCUUUGCACUUUCUUCAAGUUCUACUACAAAAUUUUCUACAUGUGUUGGGAUGGUGAUUCCAUUUUCAUUCAUCAGCUUCCGAUUGCCAACCAAAACUUGUUUUCCAUCAAUAAAGCACUUGACCCCUCUUCCUGGAAGAGCAUUGAAUUCUGAGACAUCAAGAAGCCAUCCAGAGAUUAUGGACACUUUGCUGUUGUUUUGGCCAUCCUCAGUUGCAGAAGGGUAAUCAAAGAAAUGGAAAUGGCGUGCAUAUUCCACUAUUGCUUUUGCCAAUGGAUGUUCACUGCUAGCCUCUGCAGAUGCCACCCAUUUGAGGAAUUCUCCACGAUCCAUUCCAGUGAAAACCUUUGCAGUAGUAACUGUGGCUUUCCCCUGGGUUAGAGUGCCUGUUUUAUCAAAUAUGACAUACUUGAUCUUCUGAGCUCUUUCCAAAGCAUCUCCUCCUUUUAUCAGUACACCGUUGUUAGCCCCAACCCCAGUUGCAACCAUGACAGCAGUUGGUGUUGCCAAGCCAAGAGCGCACGGACAUGCAAUUACCACCACUGAAAUUGAAAACAUGAGGGCAAAAACAAAGUAAUUGCCAUUUUCUGGUAGCCAAUCAUCUGGAUAAGCACCUAUAGUUCCACCAACAUACCAACCCAAAAAUGUCAACAAAGACAUAGCAACAACAGUAGGAACAAAAAUGCUCGCCACAAAAUCUGCAAAUUUCUGAAUUGGAGCUUUGGACAUUUGGGCUGUCUCAACCAAACUAAUUAUCUGGUUCAAAACUGCAUCAGAUCCUACUUUGGUAGCCUGCAUUUGAAGAGCACCAUGCAAAUUUAUUGUACCUCCAAUAACCAAAGAAUUAGCCUCCUUCAAAACAGGUGCAGAUUCACCAGUUACCAUACUUUCAUUAACAUAACUUGAACCCCAUACAACAACACCAUCAGCAGGAACUUUGGCACCAGGAAGAACUUUUAAUGUGUCACCAGGCUGAAUUAGUAAGGCAUCUAUUUCCCUUUCCCCAAUGCACCUUCCACCUUUGUCUUUGACAAUCAGAAGCGCCGUUGCUGGUGCAAGUUCUACUAACUUCUUUAUGGCAUCUGAUGUUUUUCCCUUUGCAAGACACUCCAAAUACUUCCCCAACAGUACAAAUGUUAUCAGCAUGGAACUUGUUUCAAAGUAUGUUGGAGACCAGAAUCCAGAAGCCGCACCAUAUAGCAGUGCACAAACUGAGUAGAAGUAUGAGGCUGAAGUCCCUAGUGCAACUAAAACAUCCAUGUUGGUUGAACCAUUUCGAAGGGCUCUACCAGCUGCUACAUAGAAGCGCUUCCCAAUUACAAACUGAACCACACUCACUAAUGCCCACUUUAACCAAUCACCCAUAAGGAAGGGUCCACAUCUCCAGAGAAGCAAAGAAUAUAGAAGUGGAAUGUGAGGGCAUAUAACUCGUAUGAAAAAUAUAGGAAUACUAAGAAACAGACUGGAAAUGAAUAGCCGAAACAUAGUGGAGGUUUCUUCAACAUCUUUAGAAGUCAUUCUUGCAUAAGGGUUCAUAACAUGUAAUUUAAACUUCAUACCACUUCCUCCCUCAAUCCCAUCAACCAAUGAUCUAGAACCAACAACUUCAGGGUCAAAGUGAACUUCUAGCUCAUUGGACAUCCUGUUGUAACGAAACUGCCGUACCCCUUUUAAUGUGCUAAGCACUCCUUCUAAAAGCUGUACAUCCAUCUCACUGAAUAUCCCAUCAACUCCUAGUAUGAUUUUGUCCUGCUGAUUACUCUGUACAAGUGCAGCUUCAAAACCAGCAUCUUCAAUUGCAUUCACUAUAUCAUCUUUACUAAUUACAGUAGGAUCAUACUCAACUUCACCUAAAGAAGUAGCCAAGGCCACUACUGCCCUUUUGACUCCAGGAAGAUCUCUCAAAAUACCUUCAACUGAGUUCACACAGGCUGCACACGUCAUACCCCCUAUUGUGAACUGCCCCAAAAGAGUUCCAUUUGGCUUUGUUUUAAAUGUAAUGGGUUCAGCUAGAAUCUCAGCCUCAAAGCCUGCAUCCUCAAUUGCUUUCUUGAUGUCAUCAUCCUUAACCAAAGUAGGGUUAAACACGACAUCAGCCUUAUUUUGAAGCAAGGCAACAGAGGCUCUCAAAACCCCAUUGACGCUCUUGAGAGCUGAUUCCACGGAAUUAGAGCAGGCAGCACAGGUCAUCCCCGUAACUCUGAUCUGAAUCCUCUUCAUCGCUUCUUCUCCUUCUGCUUCUCCUUCCCCGUCAAUCAUAAUUGUAUGCGAAUAAUCCGGGCUUUCAUAGGAGUCAAGGAGCCUAACGUCUUCGAGGUCGCCAGCUUCAUCUCCCGCCACGAUCAACGGACGUGAUUUCCUAUCGCCGGGGACCUCGGACAGCUGCAGGUCUCUUACGCUCGGCAACAUUGUUAGAUGCAACCCAGCGAGAGACAAUCUCUAGCAGAAGAAGAAGAAAGAAGAAUGUAAAUAAAAUAAAAUAAAAUAAAGGGAGAAGAUAGAUAUAGAUUUUUAGAGAGAGAGGGAGAGAGAAGUUCCGGAGGAACAGGUGGGCGUAUGCAGAAAUGUUAGCAUUAAGCAGAAAAUUUGCUGGGGGGAUGAAAUUACGAAACUGCGCUCUUGAAGAGUUGGUGAUUUUGUC
rnacentral:misc_RNA from 1 species